rnacentral:RNase_P_RNA from 1 species
CAAGUAGGCUGGACAGCCGCGCCCACUGGCCCAACGGCCUUUGGGUGAGGAAAGUCCGGGCUCCGCAGGGCAAGGAUAACGGGUAACACCCGCCGGGGGCGACCCUAGGAAAAGUGCAACAGAAAUAGACUACCGGCCUGGUUUCCGGGCCGGAAAAGGUGGAAAGGUGAGGUAAGAGCUCACCCGACGGCGUGGAAGCGUCCGUCGCUGUAAACUCUAUCCGGAGCAACGCCGUGGAGGGACAGAUGGUCGGCCCGACCGUCCCGGGGAGGCGGCUGGAGCGUACCGGCAACGGUGCGUCGAGAUAGAUGGCUGUCUUAAAGGACAGAACCCGGCUUACAGGCCUGCUUGUACC